UACGUAGGGGGCUAGCGUUGUCCGGAAUCAUUGGGCGUAAAGCGCGUGUAGGCGGCCUUGUAAGUCCGUUCUGAAAGCCCGGGGGCUCAACCCCGGGAGGCGGAUGGAUACUGCAAGGCUCGAGUCCGGAAGAGGCGAGUGGAAUUCCCGGUGUAGCGGUGAAAUGCGCAGAUAUCAGGAAGAACACCCGUGGCGAAGGCGGCUCUCUGGGACGGUACUGACGCUGAGACGCGAAAGCGUGGGGAGCGAACAGGAUAGAAACCCGAG
rnacentral:rRNA from 1 species